UAGUAUUACUCACUAUUAUGU
rnacentral:piRNA from 1 species